rnacentral:lncRNA from 1 species
AGGAGGGACAAUCAUAAGAUAACUGUUGUUUAGUCGCAAGGACUCGAUUAACUCGUAAGUUCGGAUGAACCCGACUUAGCUUAAAGACAUAUUACUUGAGAGUAUGCAGCGGAAUAACAUAAUCUGAUUACAUGUAUGAAGACAUGUAUCCAAGAGUCCAUUUAUUAAACUUAUGACAAAAGCUCCGCUCAUCACUUCAUCUUCAUCAGCCAUUGCUCAACCUGCACAUUUAGAAAUAUAUGCAGGGCUGAGUACAAAAGUACUCAGUGGGCACGUAUGCCUAAGUAUAAAAAUACAUGCUUCAAAACUGUAAAUUGUCAUGCCAUCAUAAACAGUACAGCAAGGGAGUUUUUACGCUAAAAGGCCCAAGCUUACUAAAUUCAUUUGUGAUUCUUAAAGUUGGUCUGCAGACUAAGCUCUCUUGUAAUCUAUCAUAUCUGGAACUGUGUGCCGGAGAGGUGGCCACCUCUCACGGUCACUUGACCGGCCAACCCGCUAGAUGACUCACGGUCAUUGGUGUACACUAGCCCUGGCAGGAUAGCUAUCAACUGCUCAGGACCCGAAUUCGAUUGCAUCAUUGGCAAAGCCAAAGCAGAUAGAUAUCAUACUAAAAUUUAAACAUUUUAUGGCAAGACAAUACUUGAAAUAACUUUAACUCAAAUAUUUUGUAACGAAAUAACUUGCUCAAAUGUAACAUUAAACUCAUUUGAUAGAUAUAUGUAAAACUGAAAUUAACAGUUAAAUCAUCUCAUGCAUUCAUUCGUAUAAGAGGCCUACGACACGCAGGGGAUCUCUAUAUACGUAUAGUAAAAGUAAUGCCCACCUGAUACGCUUAACGUUGUAGAAACUCUUGCUCACUUAUCUAGCAUUGCUACUGUUACCUUCAGAAUAGCAAGAUUCUAAAAUAAGAUUGAAUAACUAGAUAAGAAGAAAUAGCUAUAAAUAGCAUCCCAAUAAACUUUUAAUCUUUUGCA